AUCUCUGAAUGGGGAAACCCACCUGACAGAUCGUUAUAAUUACCUCGGUAGCUUAUAACAGUCUGAACCAGGUACUAAUUACCUGAACACAUAGGGUUUUUAGGGCAAACCCGGGGAACUGAAACAUCUAAGUACCCGGAGGAAAGGAAAUCAACAGAGACUCCGUUAGUAGUGGCGAGCGAACGCGGACCAGCCGAUCCAUGAAGAGUGACUGGAAUGACCUGGAAAGGUCAGCGAUACAGGGUGACAGCCCCGUACAGGAAGCUCCAUUGGACAUAUUAAGUAAGGCGGGACACGUGAAAUCCUGUCUGAAGAUCGGGGGACCACCCCCGAAGGCUAAGUACUCCUUGCUGACCGAUAGCGAACCAGUACCGUGAGGGAAAGGUGAAAAGCACCCCGACAAGGGGAGUGAAACAGUACCUGAAACCGGACGCCUACAAGCAGUCGGAGGGACCUCGAGUCCUGACGGCGUACCUUUUGUAUAAUGGGUCAACGACUUGGUCUUACGAGCAAGCUUAAGCCGAUAGGUGCAGGCGCAGCGAAAGCGAGUCUUAAAAGGGCGAUGAGUUCGUGGGAUCAGACCCGAAACCAAGUGAUCUAGCCAUGUGCAGGAUGAAGGUUAGGUAACACUAACUGGAGGUCCGAACCAACACCCGUUGAAAAGGGUCUGGAUGACGUGUGGCUAGGGGUGAAAGGCCAAUCAAACUUGGAGAUAGCUGGUUCUCCGCGAAAGCUAUUUAGGUAGCGCCUCGGACGAAUACCUGCGGGGGUAGAGCACUACAUGGUCAAUGGGGGCCCACAGCCUUACUGAGACUAAGUAAACUCCGAAUACCGCAGAGUACUAUCCGGGAGACACACGGCGGGUGCUAACGUCCGUCGUGAAGAGGGAAACAACCCUGACCCGCAGCUAAGGCCCCCAAUUCAUGGCUAAGUGGGAAAGCAGGUGGGACGGCCAAAACAACCAGGAGGUUGGCUUAGAAGCAGCCAUCCUUUAAAGAUAGCGUAACAGCUCACUGGUCUAGAUAAGCUGUCCUGCGGCGAAGAUGUAUCGGGGCUCAAGCCAUGAGCCGAAGCUCGGGAUGCGCAGAGAUGCGCGUGGUAGCGGAGCGUUCUGUGAUAUAGCUCCAUGUCUCUUGUCCUUCCUUACGGAAAGACGCAGAGACGCGGAGCUUUCUGUGAAGCCGGGCUGUAAGGCAUCCGGUGGAGAGAUCAGAAGCGAGAAUGUU
rnacentral:rRNA from 1 species